CAAGUAAUAUUUUAUAUAGAAUAUUAAUUUUGGAGAUUAAAGGUAAAUUUUGUUUUUACUUGA
rnacentral:tRNA from 1 species